CGAACGCUGGCGGCGUGCCUAAUACAUGCAAGUCGAACGAAGCUUUCUUUCACCGAAUGCUUGCGUUCACCGAAAGAAGCUUAGUGGCGAACGGGUGAGUAACACGUAGGCAACCUGCCCAAAAGAGGGGGAUAACACUUGGAAACAGGUGCUAAUACCGCAUAACCAUGAACACCGCAUGAUGUUCAUGUAAAAGACGGCUUUUGCUGUCACUUUUGGAUGGGCCUGCGGCGUAUUAACUUGUUGGUGGGGUAACGGCCUACCAAGGUGAUGAUACGUAGCCGAACUGAGAGGUUGAUCGGCCACAUUGGGACUGAGACACGGCCCAAACUCCUACGGGAGGCAGCAGUAGGGAAUCUUCCACAAUGGACGAAAGUCUGAUGGAGCAACGCCGCGUGAAUGAAGAAGGCCUUCGGGUCGUAAAAUUCUGUUGUCAGAGAAGAACGUGCGUGAGAGUAACUGUUCACGUAUUGACGGUAUCUGACCAGAAAGCCACGGCUAACUACGUGCCAGCAGCCGCGGUAAUACGUAGGUGGCGAGCGUUGUCCGGAUUUAUUGGGCGUAAAGGGAACGCAGGCGGUCUUUUAAGUCUGAUGUGAAAGCCUUCGGCUUAACCGAAGUAGUGCAUUGGAAACUGGAAGACUUGAGUGCAGAAGAGGAGAGUGGAACUCCAUGUGUAGCGGUGAAAUGCGUAGAUAUAUGGAAGACACCAGUGGCGAAAGCGGCUCUCUGGUCUGUAACUGACGCUGAGGUUCGAAAGCGUGGGUAGCAAACAGGAUUAGAUACCCUGGUAGUCCACGCCGUAAACGAUGAGUGCUAAGUGUUGGAGGGUUUCCGC
rnacentral:rRNA from 1 species